rnacentral:rRNA from 1 species
UGGGGAAUAUUCCGCAAUGGCCGAAAGUCUGACGGAGCAACGCCGCGUGAGUGAUGAAGGUUUUCGGACUGUAAAGCUCUGUUGUUUAGGACGAAAGUGCCUGUUGCAAACAGUUACAGGUAUUGACGGUACUAAACGAGGAAGCCACGGCUAACUACGUGCCAGCAGCCGCGGUAAUACGUAGGUGGCAAGCGUUGUGCGGAAUUAUUGGGCGUAAAGAGCAUGUAGGCGGGAAUCUAAGUCUGUUGUGAAAAUGCGGGGCUCAACCCCGUAUUGCGAUGGAAACUGGGUUUCUUGAGUGCAGGAGAGGAAAGGGGAAUUCCCAGUGUAGCGGUGAAAUGCGUAGAUAUUGGGAGGAACACCAGUGGCGAAGGCGCCUUUCUGGACUGUGUCUGACGCUGAGAUGCGAAAGCCAGGGUAGCGAACGG